AAUGAACGCUGGCGGCAUGCCUUACACAUGCAAGUCGAACGGCAGCAUGACCUAGCUUGCUAGGUUGAUGGCGAGUGGCGAACGGGAGAGUAAUGCAUCGGAACGUGCCUCUUAGUGGGGGAUAACGUAGCGAAAGUUACGCCAAUACCGCAUAUUCCCUGAGGAGGAAAGCAGGGGACCUUCGGGCCUUACGCUAGAAGAGCGGCCGAUGUCGGUUUAGCUAGUUGGUGAGGUAAAGGCUCACCAAGGCAACGAUCCGUAGCGGGUCUGAGAGGAUGAUCCGCCACACUGGGACUGAGACACGGCCCAGACUCCUACGGGAGGCAGCGGUGGGGAAUUUUGGACAAUGGGCGCAAGCCUGAUCCAGCCAUGCCGCGUGAGUGAAGAAGGCCUUCGGGUUGUAAAGCUCUUUCGGCUGGGAAGAAAUCGCACCCUCUAAUACAGGGUGUGGAUGACGGUACCAGCAUAAGAAGCACCGGCUAACUACGUG
rnacentral:rRNA from 1 species